CCAAAACAUCUUCGAUCGGAUUCAAAGCUCACCAUAUCAGCACGGUAACUUGCAAAGUUUUCCACCAAUCAUGAGGACUCGCUGCAUGUUCCUCCUAGUCCUUGCUGUCACUCUCGUGGUUCUGUCCCGAGAUGUGGCCGUGAAAGUGACGGCGGGUAAUUGCAGACCAAUAAUCGACAAGGGUGACUGUAACUUGGAUGUAUGCAAAUCGCGUUGCAACCAAUGGAACGGGCACAGUGUCAGUCAUGUUGCUAGUUGUGUUCCCGACGGAUGCCAAUGUUAUGUUUGUUUCUAAUCCCCCACACAGGGUUAAAACAUGAUGUGACUUUGUCCCAACUAAAUGUAUUGGGAGUACCUA